rnacentral:rRNA from 1 species
CAGUCGCCGCGGGAAUACGUAGGUGGCAAGCGUUGUCCGGAAUUAUUGGGUGUAAAGGGCUCGCAGGCGGUUUCUUAAGUCUGAUGUGAAAGCCCCCGGCUCAACCGGGGAGGGUCAUUGGAAACUGGGAAACUUGAGUGCAGAAGAGGAGAGUGGAAUUCCACGUGUAGCGGUGAAAUGCGUAGAGAUGUGGAGGAACACCAGUGGCGAAGGCGACUCUCUGGUCUGUAACUGACGCUGAGGAGCGAAAGCGUGGGGAGCGAACAGGAUUAGAUACCCCGGUAGUCCCUGUCUCUUAUAC